GACGAACGCUGGCGGCGUGCUUAACACAUGCAAGUCGAACGGAAAGGCCCUGCUUUUGUGGGGUGCUCGAGUGGCGAACGGGUGCGUAACACGUGAGUAACCUGCCCUUGACUUUGGGAUAACUUCAGGAAACUGGGGCUAAUAUCGGAUAGGAGCUCCUGCUGCGUGGUGGGGGUUGGAAAGUUUCGGCGGUUGGGGCUGGACGCGCGGCUGACCAGCUUGUUGGUGGGGUGGGGGCUUACCAAGGCUUUGGCGGGUAGCCGGCCUGGGAGGGUGACCGGCCACAUUGGGCCUGAGAGACGGCCCAGACUCCUACGGGAGGCAGCAGUGGGGAAUAUUGCACAAUGGGCGGAAGCCUGAUGCAGCAACGCCGCGUGCGGGAUGACGUCCUUCGGGUUGUAAACCGCUUUCGCCUGUGACGAAGCGUGAGUGACGGUACUGGGUAAAGAAGCACCGGCUAACUACGUG
rnacentral:rRNA from 1 species